rnacentral:rRNA from 1 species
GACGAACGCUGGCGGCGUGCUUAACACAUGCAAGUCGAACGGAAAGGCCCUGCUUUUGUGGGGUGCUCGAGUGGCGAACGGGUGAGUAACACGUGAGUAACCUGCCCUUGACUUUGGGAUAACUUCAGGAAACUGGGGCUAAUACCGGAUAGGAGCUCCUGCUGCAUGGUGGGGGUUGGACAGUUUCGGCGGUUGGGGAUGGACUCGCGGCUUAUCAGCUUGUUGGUGGGGUAGUGGCUUACCAAGGCUUUGACGGGUAGCCGGCCUGAGAGGGUGACCGGCCACAUUGGGACUGAGAUACGGCCCAGACUCGUACGGGAGGCAGCAGUGGGGAAUAUUGCACAAUGGGCGGAAGCCUGAUGCAGCAACGCCGCGUGCGGGAUGACGGCCUUCGGGUUGUAAACCGCUUUCGCCUGUGACGAAGCGUGAGUGACGGUAAUGGGUAAAGAAGCACCGGCUAACUACGUG